UACGUAGGGGGCAAGCGUUAUCCGGAUUUACUGGGUGUAAAGGGAGCGUAGACGGCUUUGCAAGCCAGAUGUGAAAGCCCGGGGCUCAACCCCGGGACUGCAUUUGGAACUGUGUGGCUAGAGUGUCGGAGAGGCAGGCGGAAUUCCUAGUGUAGCGGUGAAAUGCGUAGAUAUUAGGAGGAACACCAGUGGCGAAGGCGGCCUGCUGGACGAUGACUGACGUUGAGGCUCGAAAGCAUGGGGAGCAAACAGG
rnacentral:rRNA from 1 species